rnacentral:rRNA from 1 species
GAUGAACGCUGGCGGCGUGCCUAAUACAUGCAAGUCGAGCGAACGGACGAGAAGCUUGCUUCUCUGAUGUUAGCGGCGGACGGGUGAGUAACACGUGGAUAACCUACCUAUAAGACUGGGAUAACUUCGGGAAACCGUAGCUAAUACCGGCUAAUAUUUUGAACCGCAUGGUUCAAAAGUGAAAGACGGUCUUGCUGUCACUUAUAGAUGGAUCCGCGCUGCAUUAGCUAGUUGGUAAGGUAACGGCUUACCAAGGCAACGAUGCAUAGCCGACCUGAGAGGGUGAUCGGCCACACUGGAACGGAGACACGGUCCAGACUCCUACGGGAGGCAGCAGUAGGGAAUCUUCCGCAAUGGGCGAAAGCCUGACGGAGCAACGCCGCGUGAGUGAUGAAGGUCUUCGGAUCGUAAAACUCUGUUAUUAGGGAAGAACAUAUGUGUAAGUAACUGUGCACAUCUUGACGGUACCUAAUCAGAAAGCCACGGCUAACUACGUG